rnacentral:rRNA from 1 species
GCUUAACCGAAGAAGUGCAUCGGAAACUGGGUGACUUGAGUGCAGAAGAGGACAGUGGAACUCCAUGUGUAGCGGUGGAAUGCGUAGAUAUAUGGAAGAACACCAGUGGCGAAGGCGGCUGUCUGGUCUGCAACUGACGCUGAGGCUCGAAAGCAUGGGUAGCGAACAGGAUUAGAUACCCUGGUAGUCCAUGCCGUAAACGAUGAGUGCUAGGUGUUGGAAGGUUUCCGCCCUUCAGUGCCGGAGCUAACGCAUUUAGCACUCCGCCUGGGGAGUACGACCGCAAGGUUGAAACUCAAAGGAAUUGACGGGGGCCCGCACAAGCGGUGGAGCAUGUGGUUUAAUUCGAAGCUACGCGAAGAACCUUACCAGGUCUUGACAUCUUGCGCUAACCUAAGAGAUUAGGCGUUCCCUUCGGGGACGCAAUGACAGGUGGUGCAUGGUCGUCGUCAGCUCGUGUCGUGAGAUGUUGGGUUAAGUCCCGCAACGAGCGCAACCCUUGUUACUAGUUGCCAGCAUUCAGUUGGGCACUCUAGUGAGACUGCCGGUGACAAACCGGAGGAAGGUGGGGAUGACGUCAGAUCAUCAUGCCCCUUAUGACCUGGGCUACACACGUGCUACAAUGGUCGGUACAACG